rnacentral:tRNA from 1 species
GGAGAGUGAUAGGUUGAAAAAGGACUUCUAAUCCUAUUUUUAGGUGGUUCGAUUCCACUUCCUCUUUG